rnacentral:rRNA from 1 species
AGUGAACGCUGGCGGUAGGCCUAACACAUGCAAGUCGAACGGCAGCACAGUAAGAGCUUGCUCUUACGGGUGGCGAGUGGCGGACGGGUGAGGAAUACAUCGGAAUCUACUUUUUCGUGGGGGAUAACGUAGGGAAACUUACGCUAAUACCGCAUACGACCUACGGGUGAAAGCAGGGGAUCUUCGGACCUUGCGCGAUUGAAUGAGCCGAUGUCGGAUUAGCUAGUUGGCGGGGUAAAGGCCCACCAAGGCGACGAUCCGUAGCUGGCCUGAGAGGAUGAUCAGCCACACUGGAACUGAGACACGGUCCAGACUCCUACGGGAGGCAGCAGUGGGGAAUAUUGGACAAUGGGCGCAAGCCUGAUCCAGCCAUACCGCGUGGGUGAAGAAGGCCUUCGGGUUGUAAAGCCCUUUUGUUGGGAAAGAAAAGCAGCAGGUUAAUACCCCGCUGUUCUGACGGUACCCAAAGAAUAAGCACCGGCUAAUUUCGUG